UACGGAGGGAGCUAGCGUUAUUCGGAAUUACUGGGCGUAAAGCGCACGUAGGCGGCUUUGUAAGUUAGAGGUGAAAGCCUGGAGCUCAACUCCAGAAUUGCCUUUAAGACUGCAUCGCUUGAAUCCAGGAGAGGUGAGUGGAAUUCCGAGUGUAGAGGUGAAAUUCGUAGAUAUUCGGAAGAACACCAGUGGCGAAGGGCGGCUCACUGGAGCUGGUAUUGACGCUG
rnacentral:rRNA from 1 species